UGCGUAGGCGGCGCGGAAAGUCAGAUGUGAAAUCCGGGGGCUCAACCCCCGAAUGGCAUCCGAAACUCCCGCGCUCGAGAUUUGUAGAGGAGCCUGGAACUCUCGGUGUAGCAGUGAAAUGCGUGGAUAUCGAGAAGAACGCUCGUAGCGAAGGCGAGGCUCUGGGCAAAUUCUGACGCUGAGGCACGAAGGCCAGGGGAGCAAACG
rnacentral:rRNA from 1 species